CGGGGACAAGCCAUUCCUCUCAGGCAGCCCUUGUCCCCCUCCUGGCUCCAGAAGGGCAGCAUAGGCCCAGAAGCUGCAGGCGUGGACAGAAACGAGGUCUCCCGGGCUCCGGGUGCGGAAGGCUCAGUGGAAACUUUCUGAGUGGUUGUCUUCAAAAGGCCCACCUAGCACAGGACUCCAGAGAAUGCUUCGUUGAGCCCGGAGCAGCUGUCCAGACCUGGUGUCCAGAGUGAUCCAGCAGCUCCACGCAGCAAGCUCCAGAGAUCAGCCACAGACUGGUGCCCCCCCACCCCAGGCAGCAAUCGGCUGCAUCAUGGCCUCACUGGGGCACAGGGACAGUGCAGAGACCUUGAACAAACAUCCCGUCGUACAUGGCCACCAUCCCAGUGUGCAUACAGAAAGAGGCCACCCUGGCCAUUAAGAGAUCAAGGUGAAGCAGGAUAAGGAAGAGAUCUUCCCCAGUGGAAGAGGAUGGAGAAGACCCUCACGGUGUAGCGGCUUCCCCAGAGGUUCCCACACCGCCUUGUGCCCCAGUGGGCUUUGAAGCCACAAGAGUCCUCUUUGCUAAGGAUGAGAAAAGGCUGGAAAGGAAAGGGAAAGUCUGGCGAAACCACCUGAUAUUUGCUUUAAAGUAUUUCAGGUCUGGAGCUGGACCUCAGAGGUAGGCACCUGCCUGGUGUCACCCCCACCCCUGUGAAAAUGAAACUGUCUCAGAGACCUGUGUGGAGACAUACCAGUCCAUCACUAGUCGCACCGCACCUUCCCAUCUGGACCCCAAUUUCUCAUUCUGACAGGAGGCCACUGCACCUCAGAUAUGUCUGAAGCAGGGUGCCACCCUGGGGGAGGGCAGAAGCCCAAUGGUGGCCACAAAGCAGGAGCGGGCGUUAACUGCAUGCUUUUUAAGUUUCAUAGGUUGCAUAUCUGUGUGUGUGUGUGUUGUGUAUGCAUAGCUAUACACAUCUGUGAAGUCCUGAGGUUGACACUGAGUGUCCUCAAUUGCUCUCCACUUUUUUUUUU
rnacentral:lncRNA from 1 species